rnacentral:lncRNA from 1 species
AUGUAAUGGCGGACGUGUAUAAUACAGCGAGUGCAUAAUGUGUGAAAUAACAGUGAAGCAGAAUACCUACAGACCAUGAAGUUGAGAAAUGCAGAGAUGCAGCUGUAAAUUGUUUAAUACACUGUAUGUGGGGAAAACAUAGUGGAUAUGAAGCAUAGAAAUCAUGUGUCAAUGUGAAGUAACAGUAACACAGAAUGGCCGGAGACCAUUAACUUAAGAACUGAAGAGAUACAGGUCUUUGUUCUAUAUGGUGAUUGGUGGAACCAUGGUGCAGUUUUGAAUUGAUAAGGUGCGCAGUUACAGAAAAGCAGAAUAGCUACAGACCAUGAAAUUUAGAAAAUGAAGAGAUGCAUGUCUCUGUUCAGCAUGGUGUAUAAGGGAAACAUUGUGGGUAACAGACCUCUGUUCAACAUGGUGUAUAUAGGAAACAUUGUGGGUCACAGACCUCUGUUCAACAUUGUGUAUAUGGGAAACAUUGUGGGUCACAGACGUCUGUUCAACAUGGUGUAUAUGGGAAACAUUGUGGGUAACAGACGUCUGUUCAACAUGGUGUAUAUGGGAAACAUUGUGGGUAACAGACGUCUGUUCAACAUGGUGUAUAUGGGAAACAUUGUGGGUCACAGACCUGUGUUCAACAUGGUGUAUAUGGGAAACAUUGUGGGUCACAGACAUGAAAUGGUUUGUGUGAAGUAACAGUAAAGCAGAAUGGCUACAGACAAUUAGUUCAGAAUUGAAGAAGAGAUGCAGGUCUGUUGGACAGUGAUGUGUGUACCAGUCUGUCAGACUAUUAUGUGUUUGUCCAGUUGAAAAAUUCGCAGUGGAUGCUUAAUUUCUCACAUAAUUUGGCAGAAUUUUCACACAAGACAGAUUGCAAAAGACUUUAGUACCCAAAAACCUGAAAUGAGAGCGCUUGAACAAUGUGAAGUUUGUCGCAUAGAAAGGGAUUCACCGCCUUUGUGUAUAUAAGUCUACAACUUCUCAGAUUUGACUGAAGACAAUUGUUUGGUGUUGUGAAUAGGUAAAUAAUUCCUUUGUAAAUAUUUUUAAUAAAAAUCAGGUACUUUUCCUUGAUACUGUAAAAUCUAAUAGACUUCGUUUAAAUUGCAACGGCAAUUGAAAGACAGGUAGAAAUUAGAAUUAUAGUGGAAUAACAUUAUUUCAGCCAGUUUUAACAUAAUGACUACAUUCUGAAGCAUGUGUGGUAGUGAGAUUACAUUAGUAGUCUGUUACUUUGAAACUGGACAGGAUUUUGUUCAUAAUAAUUGG